UACGAGACGGUAUACAAUGGG
rnacentral:siRNA from 1 species